GAUGAACGCUGGCGGCGUGCCUAAUACAUGCAAGUCGAGCGAACAGACGAGGAGCUUGCUCCUCUGACGUUAGCGGCGGACGGGUGAGUAACACGUGGAUAACCUACCUAUAAGACUGGGAUAACUUCGGGAAACCGGAGCUAAUACCGGAUAAUAUAUUGAACCGCAUGGUUCAAUAGUGAAAGACGGUUUUUGCUGUCACUUAUAGAUGGAUCCGCGCCGCAUUAGCUAGUUGGUAAGGUAACGGCUUACCAAGGCAACGAUGCGUAGCCGACCUGAGAGGGUGAUCGGCCACACUGGAACUGAGACACGGUCCAGACUCCUACGGGAGGCAGCAGUAGGGAAUCUUCCGCAAUGGGCGAAAGCCUGACGGAGCAACGCCGCGUGAGUGAUGAAGGUCUUCGGAUCGUAAAACUCUGUUAUUAGGGAAGAACAAAUGUGUAAGUAACUAUGCACGUCUUGACGGUACCUAAUCAGAAAGCCACGGCUAACUACGUGCCAGCAGCCGCGGUAAUACGUAGGUGGCAAGCGU
rnacentral:rRNA from 1 species